AACGAACGCUGGCGGCAUGCCUAACACAUGCAAGUCGAACGAGACCUUCGGGUCUAGUGGCGCACGGGUGCGUACCGCGUGGGAACCUGCCCUUAGGUUCGGAAUAACUCCCCGAAAGGGGUGCUAAUACCGGAUAAUGUCUUCGGACCAAAGAUUUAUCGCCUUUGGAUGGGCCCGCGUUGGAUUAGCUAGUUGGUAGGGUAAAAGCCUACCAAGGCGACGAUCCAUAGCUGGUCUGAGAGGAUGAUCAGCCACACUGGGACUGAGACACGGCCCAGACUCCUACGGAAGGCAGCAGUGGGGAAUAUUGGACGAUGGGCGAAAGCCUGAUCCAGCAAUGCCGCGUGAGUGAUGAAGGCCGUAGGGUUGUAAAGCUCUUUUACCCGGGAUGAUAAUGACAGUACCGGGAGAAUAAGCUCCGGCUAACUCCGUG
rnacentral:rRNA from 1 species